UUGCGUCCAACCAUGUCGCAGAGUAUUGAACCUUGAACAUGUUUCCUUUCCGAUGAGGAUACGCCGUGGCGUUGGCCGGAAUCCUGUCCAUCACUCCACCGUAAGUGUUCAUUUGCAUCCACACAGUGUGUUUGAAUUCAAACAUUUUUUUCCAGAGCUUCUCGAACCCUUCUUUAGGGAUAGGUUUCUUGACGUAAUCAGAUUUGCUUUUGAAGAAUCCUGGAUUCGUAGGUCUUUCUAGAAGAACGCUCGGUGGUGUUCCUUCAGGGUAAUCAGCCCAAAACAGCGUCGUUUCGAACCAGCUCAUUUCGUGACAAUCUUCACGUUUUAGCCCUAACCCAGGCAAGUUCUUGUUUAGUAACGCCAUCAGCUUGUCGGCUCGACCCAAGAACUGAGCGUAGAACACAACCGCGAUGGUUCUCUCGCCAUGUUUUGUUCCGUUUACGACCUGAGGCCAUGCUCUAAUGAAAAGAUCUUCAGGGAACUUGGUGGAGACAAGCUGCCACUUGUAGAGAACAUCAGUGCCUCCUUGUUCCAAUGUUUUGUUAACCCUAAACACUGUCAUGAUCUUUGGAACUUCCACGAGGUUAAUUUUCCAAGAGAGGAUAACUCCGAAGCUCGCACCCCCACCUCCACGAAUAGCCCAAAAGAGAUCUUCUCCCAUGGUAGCUCGGUUCAAGAGCUUGCCGUUGACAUCAACUAAUAGAGCAUCAACGACAUGAUCCACAGUGAUUCCAUAUUUUCUUAUGAGAUUACCGUACCCUCCACCGCUUAUGUGCCCUCCUGCUCCUACCGUAGGGCACACGCCAGCUGGGAACGCUAGCGUUUUGCUUGCGUCUUUGAUCUUUACGUAGAGCUCUCCCAAGGUGGCACCAGCUUGAACCCAAGCUUUCUUGCGUGACACGUCAAUGGUAAUUGACCUAAGAUUGUGCAUAUCAAGAAUGACAAAUGGAACAGAGGAUAUGUAAGAAAGGGCUUCGAGGUCAUGACCGCCACUUCGGGUACGGAGUUGUAUACCGUUGGUCUUUGCGCAGACCACGGUGGCUUGAACAUGAGAUACAUGUUCUGCCACCACGAUGGCUAGUAGGUUUUGGUUAGGGCUCGAGUACCUCUUGUUUUUCGUGUAGGACAAGUAAGAAGACAAGAAGGUGGUGGUGUUAUCGGGGGUGAAGAUGGCAUCGGUGACUGGAUUAUUCGGACUAGUCCGAUAGUGAAGGCAUUCGAUAAAGUUUGCAGAGUUCGGUUUUGCUAUUGCUACUUCUAAAACCGAAACCAAAAGAACAAGACACAAAACAGAGAUUGUAUCCUUCAUUUUUCUCUCUCGAUAGAUAUGUCAUAUGUCUCUAUUAGGAUUUUAGCUUAUAAAAAAAAAUCUAGUGAGAAAAAUAAAUUUGAAAUCGACUCUUGUGUCGUCAUAUCGGUUGACUUUGAAUUUUCUUAUUCUUUUGGUUAAAGACUUUGAAAUUUCUUUUCUAAAAUUUCUUUUCUAAACAUUUAUUACAGAGGAAUAGUACUCAUGAAAGGGAUAGCAGGGAUUGAGUCGCAUCUGUCCAGCUUUAUAUUACAUUUUAUAUACAUCUAAACAUGUAUUGCAAAUGUUAACAAGUGGAAGAAAGUUG
rnacentral:lncRNA from 1 species